GCUGCUGUAGCUCAGUGGUAGAGCACUCCCUUGGUAAGGGAGAGGUCGAC
rnacentral:tRNA from 1 species